rnacentral:snoRNA from 1 species
AGCGCAGCGACCCUGGGCUGGUGGCGCUGUCGGUGCUGCGCGUGGCGCCACUGCCCGGUUGCGCGAGAGUU